rnacentral:lncRNA from 1 species
AGGGGUUAGUUGAUAGGCAGAAGGGUGGAGUGGGGUCAGCCUGUAUCCCCCUCCAGGGACCAGGGGUUAGUUGAUAGGCAGAAGGGUGGAGUGGGGUCAGCCUGUAUCGCCCUCCAGGGACCAGGGGUUAGUUAUCUAAGCUUUCUUCUCCUCCAGUAUGUUGUGCAGUUCGUCAGCAUCCUCUGCUGUUUUGACCCUGAUGAGCAUGGCGACAGGGUUGGUAGGGUUGUUGUGGUCCACCACAGGGUUAGGAACACAAAUCACCAUCACGUUGUUCUUCCCCAUUCUGGAACAGGGUAUGGAAGGCUGGACCAUGAUGUUCAACAGGAUGUUACCUGGAGGAGAGAGAGAGAGAGAGGGGGUUGUUAUUGAUGAGGUCUGGAGCGGGAUGUUACAGACAGACAGGUUAUUGAUGAGGUCUGGAGCGGGAUGUUACAGACAGACAGGUUAUUGAUGAGGUCUGGACCGGGAUGUUACAGACAGACAGGUUAUUGAUGAGGUCUGGACCAGGAUGUUACAGACAGACAG